rnacentral:rRNA from 1 species
AUGCAAGUCGAGGGGCAGCGGAGAGGUAGCAAUACCUUUGCCGGCGACCGGCGCACGGGUGAGUAACACGUAUGCAAUCCACCUGUAACAGGGGGAUAACCCGGAGAAAUCCGGACUAAUACCCCAUAAUAUGGGCGCUCCGCAUGGAGAGCCCAUUAAAGAGAGCAAUUUUGGUUACAGACGAGCAUGCGCUCCAUUAGCCAGUUGGCGGGGUAACGGCCCACCAAGGCGACGAUGGAUAGGGGUUCUGAGAGGAAGGUCCCCCACAUUGGAACUGAGACACGGUCCAAACUCCUACGGGAGGCAGCAGUGAGGAAUAUUGGCCAAUGGUCGGCAGACUGAACCAGCCAAGUCGCGUGAGGGAAGACGGCCCUACGGGUUGUAAACCUCUUUUGUCGGAGAGUAAAGUACGCUACGCGUAGCGUAUUGCAAGUAUCCGAAGAAAAAGCAUCGGCUAACUCCGUGCCAGCAGCCGCGGUAAUACGGAGGAUGCGAGCGUUAUCCGGAUUUAUUGGGUUUAAAGGGUGCGUAGGCGGCACGCCAAGUCAGCGGUGAAAUUUCCGGGCUCAACCCGGAGUGUGCCGUUGAAACUGGCGAGCUAGAGUGCACAAGAGGCAGGCGGAAUGCGUGGUGUAGCGGUGAAAUGCAUAGAUAUCACGCAGAACCCCGAUUGCGAAGGCAGCCUGCUAGGGUGCGACAGACGCUGAGGCACGAAAGCGUGGGUAUCGAACAGGAUUAGAUACCCUGGUAGUCCACGCAGUAAACGAUGAAUACUAACUGUUUGCGAUACAAUGUAAGCGGUACAGCGAAAGCGUUAAGUAUUCCACCUGGGGAGUACGCCGGCAACGGUGAAACUCAAAGGAAUUGACGG